rnacentral:misc_RNA from 1 species
AACUCUGCAAGAUGUGUAAGGAGUAGCUUGAAACAGGACUUUCCCAUCUAACACGUAUUUCACGAUAAACGAGCUCAAUUCCAGGAUGAGGAAUACCUCAAAAAUGCUGAUUAAAGAAGGACCAGACUCUUGCCUUCCACCUUUAUAUAUAACUCAUUCGUAUAUAUCAUUUUCAUCAAGAAAACGAGAAAAGAAGCAAGAACACUAGCACUCACUCUCAAAUCCAAUCACUACCAAAAAGCUAGACUCUCUUGGUAAUCCAGGAGUCCAUCGAGAAUGGCACUAAGCCUAGGAGGACGAAGGAGCAAUAUCUUCGACCCCUGGUCACUAGACGUCUGGGAUCCAUUUGAGGGUUUCCCUCUCUUCACAGGAGCUGUGACCAGUCUCCCAUCCACCCAACGGGAAACAACAGCUAUUGCCACUACACGGGUCGACUGGAGGGAAACCCCAGAGGCUCACAUAUUCACAGUUGACCUUCCUGGGUUGAAGAAAGAGGAGGUGAAGGUGGAGAUUGAGGAUGGCAGAGUAUUGCAGACCAGUGGAGAGAGGUGUAGAGAGUAAGAGGACAUGAAUGAUGAGUGGCACCGUGUGGAGAGGAGCACCGCCAAGUUCUUGAGGAGGUUUAGGUUGCCAGAGAAUGCAAAGAUGGAUCAAAUUAACGCUAACAUGGAGAACGGUGUGCUUGAAGUAGUUGUGCCUCAGGAGCAGGCAAAGAAACCUGAGGUUAAGCCUAUAGAAAUGGUUAGAACAGCAGUCUCUUUUCCUGGUGCUAGAAUAAAACUUUUGCACUUCCAGUGUGGUGCCGUCUGUAUGAUAGGGUACUGGUUUAAGCGUUUUGUUUGUGAAACAUGUAUCCUCCAUUUUGGUGUAUUUUCAGUAGUGCAUAGUUUUCAGAGGUUGUGUGAAGUUGCGUUAAAAACUUGAAUAAAUAGCUGCUUUCUUUCUGUUUAACAUGAUAUGAAAAUUUAAUAUUUUACUUUAUGGGCUUCUCAGGAAAAUUUUACAAUUUUUUAGCAUAGCCAGACAGGUGCUCAAUGUAGCCUAUUUGAGAUUUUGUUUUAACAGAUGGAGUUGAUCAGUCUGGUAUAUCCUACAGUAUUGAAAUUGUGGACAUUUACACCCUAAUGCAAAGAUUUUGUUUUGACAGAUGAUAGAGGAUUUGAUUAGUUUCACAUAUCCUGCAGAACUGAAAUUGGGGACAAAACACUAGUGAAACUCAUGCAUCCAAAUUUCAUCUGUUUUUAUUAAUGAAAAAUUAUCGGAAUAUGAAAUUCACUUGGCUUAGAGAUAGCAUCUUAACCAAUCAUAUGCUUAAUAUAUGUCUCCAAGUGAAGAAUGUUCUCUGAAAUUGUGAUGAAUGUUAUCUGAAAUUAUAGAAGAAACCAAUUAUACAAAUAUCAGGCUUAGAACAUAGAAAUGAUGCAUGUAUUCAGUACUCAACAAGAACAGCUACAUCAACAAAACAGAAUAAAAAAAAAUAAAAAAAAAAA